rnacentral:rRNA from 1 species
AGCAGUAGCCGCGGUAAUACAGAGGAUGCAAGCGUUAUCCGGAAUUAUUGGGCGUAAAGCGCGCGUAGGCGGUUUUUUAAGUCUGAUGUGAAAGCCCACGGCUCAACCGUGGAGGGUCAUUGGAAACUGGAAAACUUGAGUGCAGAAGAGGAAAGUGGAAUUCCAUGUGUAGCGGUGAAAUGCGCAGAGAUAUGGAGGAACACCAGUGGCGAAGGCGACUUUCUGGUCUGUAACUGACGCUGAUGUGCGAAAGCGUGGGGAUCAAACAGGAUUAGAUACCCCCGUAGUCCCUGUCUCUUAUAC